rnacentral:rRNA from 1 species
UACGAAGGGGGCUAGCGUUGUUCGGAAUUACUGGGCGUAAAGCGCACGUAGGCGGACUACUAAGUCAGGGGUGAAAUCCCGGGGCUCAACCCCGGAACUGCCUUUGAUACUGGUAGUCUCGAGUCCGGAAGAGGUGAGUGGAAUUCCGAGUGUAGAGGUGAAAUUCGUAGAUAUUCGGAGGAACACCAGUGGCGAAGGCGGCUCACUGGUCCGGAACUGACGCUGAGGUGCGAAAGCGUGGGGAGCGAACAGG